rnacentral:rRNA from 1 species
AGUGAACGCUGGCGGUAGGCCUAACACAUGCAAGUCGAACGGCAGCACAGUAAGAGCUUGCUCUUACGGGUGGCGAGUGGCGGACGGGUGAGGAAUACAUCGGAAUCUACUUUUUCGUGGGGGAUAACGUAGGGAAACUUACGCUAAUACCGCAUACGACCUACGGGUGAAAGCAGGGGAUCUUCGGACCUUGCGCGAUUGAAUGAGCCGAUGUCGGAUUAGCUAGUUGGCGGGGUAAAGGCCCACCAAGGCGACGAUCCGUAGCUGGUCUGAGAGGAUGCUCGGCCACACUGGAACUGAGACACGGUCCAGACUCCUACGGGAGGCAGCAGUGGGGAAUAUUGGACAAUGGGCGCAAGCCUGAUCCAGCCAUACCGCGUGGGUGAAGAAGGCCUUCGGGUUGUAAAGCCCUUUUGUUGGGAAAGAAAAGCAGCAGGUUAAUACCCCGCUGUUCUGACGGUACCCAAAGAAUAAGCACCGGCUAACUUCGUG